CCGGACCUGACUGCUAUCGGAUUGGUACUAAGCCAUGCGAGUCAUUGUAGCAAUACAAGGCGGACGGCUCAGUAACACGUAGUCAACCUAACCUAUGGACGUGGAUAACCUCGGGAAACUGAAAAUAAACCGCGAUAGAUCAUUAUGCCUGGAAUGGCUUAUGGUUCAAACAAUUUAUUGCCGUAGGAUGGGACUGCGGCCUAUCAGCUUGUUGGUGAGGUAAUGGCCCACCAAGGCUAUAACAGGUACGGGCUCUGAGAGGAGAAGCCCGGAGAUGGGUACUGAGACACGGACCCAGGCCCUAUGGGGCGCAGCAGGCGAGAAACCUUAGCAAUGUGCGAAAGCACGACUAGGUUAAUCCGAGUGAUUCCUGUUGAAGGAAUCUUUUGUCAGUCGUAAAACCACAGACGAAUAAGGGGUGGGCAAGUCUGGUGUCAGCCGCCGCGGUAAUACCAGCGCCUCGAGUGGUCAGGAGGUUUAUUGGGCCUAAAGCAUCCGUAGCCGGCUUUGCAAGUCUCCGGUUAAAUCCAGCUGCUCAACAGAUGGGCUGCCGGAGAUACUACACAGCUAGGGAGCGGGAGAGGCAGACGGUAUUCUGUGGGUAGGGGUAAAAUCCAUUGAUCCAUAGAGGACCACCAGUGGCGAAGGCGGUCUGCCAGAACGCGUUCGACGGUGAGGGAUGAAAGCUGGGGGAGCAAACCGGAUUAGAUACCCGGGUAGUCCCAGCUGUAAACGAUGCAAACUCGGUGAUGCAUUGGCUUAUGGGCCAAUGCAGUGCCGCAGGGAAGCCGUUAAGUUUGCCGCCUGGGAAGUACGGACGCAGUCUGAAACUUAAAGGAAUUGGCGGGGGAGCACCACAAGGGGUGAAGCCUGCUGUUCAAUUGGAUUCAACGC
rnacentral:rRNA from 1 species